UUGACACCAGUGCGUCACUGGCAGGAAUCAAAUUAUCUGUGGUAUUGAGUUUGAGCGUAGAGUGAAUCAAAGAGAGUGAGGUUAGGUGCAGACAACGAAGAUGGCAACAAGUAGUAAUUCAAACAUGAACUGUAUAGCGCCAGGCUGUAUCCCUUGGUAAAUCCCUGGGUAAACUACGAUCGACUGCCCAAGGACCCACAACUUUCGAAGUGGCUCCAUGUCCUGAGAGGAAGAACGUGUCAGCACGAGCUAGCAGGAUCUGCAAACAGCACUUCGCGAUGAAGGGCACUUUCGAUGCGGCAACUGGGAGUUUCCGAAUGGAAAGGAGUCAUAGGCCUACGUUGAAGCCCUCUGCUUACACCUCCAUUUUAUAUUGAGGGUUAUGGUGCAGGGGUAACCGUCCGACCGACCGGCCGGCCGACCAGACCGACCGACCAUCAUCAACAUCGCUUACUUCGGAGUUAAGCAAAUAAGACUGAACAGAGGAGGCGACGCGAGUCAAUGCAAUGAAGCCUGAGGAUGACAUCUUCAUCCCUGAAAAUUAGGCAGAGGAGGAAAGAACAGUUAGUACAGCAUGCCAAACUGACCCCUGGGUGACAGAGUGUUCCUGUGCUGCGGUGGAGAAGAGGUCCACCGGGACCAUCCCUAAAGAGCUCGAGGACCAGCUAGAUUAAGCUCACAACCAUCAGUGUACAACCGAGUCCUGCCCCUAUACGCCACAGAUGGAGCUGACGGAGAGUGAGAUCAGUGAAGAGCAUAACUUGCUGUAUGAACCUGAGAGCUCAGAAUCUCAAUCAUCACAGUGCGAGCCAAGACAUACGAUCGAUCACUUUGGGGGAGCUGGCUGGUGUUCUGGAGAAGUGGAGAAGGAUGUGUGCUAUCUUGUCCUGCUGUUUUGACUCUCUCAACCUAUGAAUGCUCAGCUAUGAAAAGCCAACUGACAUUUGCUCCUGAGGUGUUGAACUGAUGCACCCUCUACAACCACUGUGGUUAUUCUGUUGAUGUAAUAAGAGGCUUUAGUAAAAUACAUUUGAUUGAUUGCUGCGCUGGAUGCUGUGUAUUCACUAACUGUCUGAGUGAUGGGACAUUUAUAUAGUACCUGUAACUAGGGAUGCACGAUAUCGGAAUCGGACGAUAUUAGAUAAAAAUGACAACAUCGGCCUGAUGUCUAGUUUAACGGCAAUAUGCAAAACCGACGUCAAAGCUGACGUGCAUACCGACACUACCGUUCAAAAGUUUGGGGUCAUUUAGAAAUAUCCUUGUUUUCCAUGAAAACAUACAGAAAUUAGUUGCAGAAUGAAUAGUCAAGACAUUGACCAGGUUAGAAAUAAUAAUUUUCUAUUGAAAUAAUUAGUGUCCGUCAAACUUUGCUUUCGUCAAAGAAACUUCCAUUUGCAGCAAUUACAGCCUUGCAGACCUUUGGCAUUCCAGUUUACCACCACCAAAUCUCCCUUUACCACCACCAAAGCACCCACAGAUCACCACAUUGCCUCCACCAUACUUGACAGAUGGCAUCAAGCACUCCUUCAGCAUUUUUUCAUUGUCUCAAAAAUGUUA